rnacentral:rRNA from 1 species
CUGAACCAGCCAAGUAGCGUGAAGGAUGACUGCCCUAUGGGUUGUAAACUUCUUUUAUAAAGGAAUAAAGUCGGGUAUGUAUACCCGUUUGCAUGUACUUUAUGAAUAAGGAUCGGCUAUACUCCGUGCCAGCAGCCGCGGUAAUACGGAGGAUCCGAGCGUUAUCCGGAUUGAUUGGGUUUAAAGGGAGCGGAGAUGGAUGUUUAAGUCAGUUGUGAAAGUUUGCGG